rnacentral:rRNA from 1 species
ACGGGGGCAACCCUGGGGCGAGUGGCGAACGGGUGAGUAAUGCAUCGGAACGUGCCCAGUAGUGGGGGAUAACCAGUCGAAAGGCUGGCUAAUACCGCAUACGACCUAAGGGUGAAAGCGGGGGACCGUAAGGCCUCGCGCUAUUGGAGCGGCCGAUGUCUGAUUAGCUAGUUGGCGGGGUAAGAGCCCACCAAGGCGACGAUCAGUAGCUGGUCUGAGAGGACGACCAGCCACACUGGGACUGAGACACGGCCCAGACUCCUACGGGAGGCAGCAGUGGGGAAUUUUGGACAAUGGGCGCAAGCCUGAUCCAGCCAUGCCGCGUGCGGGAAGAAGGCCUUCGGGUUGUAAACCGCUUUUGGCAGGAACGAAACGGCGCAAGCCAAUACCUUGCGCUAAUGACGGUACCUGCAGAAUAAGCACCGGCUAACUACGUGCCAGCAGCCGCGGUAAUACGUAGGGUGCAAGCGUUAAUCGGAAUUCUGGGCGUAAGCGUACGCAGGCGGCUUUGCAAGACAGGUGUGAAAUCCCCGGGCCUAACCUGGGAACUGCA